rnacentral:rRNA from 1 species
UCUAUUCUUGAUUCACUGGUGUGUGCAGGUGCAUGGCCGUUCUUAGUUGGUGGAGUGAUUUGUCUGGUUAAUUCCGUUAACGAACGAGACCUUAACCUGCUAAAUAGUCACGCGAACCGGUCCGCAAGGGCUCAAAGUUCGCGGCUCGACUUCUUAGAGGGACUAUUCGCACCCGCCAGCGAAUGGAAGUUUGAGGCAAUAACAGGUCUGUGAUGCCCUUAGAUGUUCUCGGCCGCACGCGCGUUACACUGACGGAGUCAACGAGCGUUUUUCCUUGCCCGACAGGGCUGGGUAACCUCCUGAAACUCCGUCGUGAUGGGGAUAGAUCAUUGCAAUUAUUGAUCUUGAACGAGGAAUUCCUAGUAGGCGCGAGUCAUCAACUCGCGCCGAUUACGUCCCUGCCCUUUGUACACACCGCCCGUCGCUCCUACCGAUUGAACGGUCCGGCGAGAACUCCGGAUGGUCCAAGUAGGGG